UACGUAGGGUGCAAGCGUUGUCCGGAAUUAUUGGGCGUAAAGAGCUCGUAGGCGGUUCGUCGCGUCGGCUGUGAAAUCCCGAGGCUCAACCGCGGGUCUGCAGUCGAUACGGGCAGGCUAGAGUUCGGUAGGGGAGACUGGAAUUCCUGGUGUAGCGGUGAAAUGCGCAGAUAUCAGGAGGAACACCGGUGGCGAAGGCGGGUCUCUGGGCCGGAUACUGACGCUGAGGAGCGAAAGCGUGGGGGAGCGAACAGG
rnacentral:rRNA from 1 species